CCGCCCUCGCUGAGGUUGUAGCGCGCCCGCAGCUCCAGCUGCCGCAGCUCCAGCCGCUGCCGCUCGAUCAUCUCCGGCUCCGACUCCAGCGCGUCGAACACCGCGGCGCCCACCAGCAGGACCCUCGGACCUGCCCGCGCCUGCUCUAAGUCAACCUGUCUCUGCCUUGUCUGCUGCAGCGUUGGAGGUCAGCUGCUUCCUUGCCGCAUCCCUAAGUGGCGGGUUUGGACCAGGAAAUAUCAACACGCCUUCCACUUAUAACAUCCCAUGCCCUUCCUGCCCCGAUUACAUCUGCUUGCUCCAUCCUCUUGAGAAUUAGGCAAAAAAGGGAAUAAACAGCCACUUCUUUGAAGACUAGUUUGUGAGGAAAGAAACAGCCACAAGGUUAGAGUAAAUUGUUUGGAAUUUAUCAUUAGCUACCAUGCUCCACUGUGUACUAAACACCAUACAGUCAUUUUCAGCUUAACGUGCCUCUCUGAGCAUCUGUAAGCUCUCAACACAUCUGUGUUCUCAUGUUCCUGAGACUCCCAGGUCUCCAGGGUUCCCACCAGUUGAGAUACUGGUACCUCCUUGUCUCUCCUACCUUCUUCUGCCGACCUUCUAUUCAUUCAGGCUUCACGACCCAGCCUAAAGUCUCCAUGAAGCCCUUCCCACUCAUGACCCCCCAACCCCAAAUCUGAACCACCUGCUCCUUUGUACCUCUGUGGACUUCUGAGUGUCCAUUCCUCUUGUCAAGUAGAUUAUUUGCUCUUACGACUCCCUCACUGGCUUGAUAUCUUUUUCCUGGGUAGAGACAAUACUAGGCUUUUACAAUACUAUGCUUCCCAUAAUGCUUUGUACAUCAAAGCUGCAUUACACGUCUCAACACAAGACUACCUGUGCUGGGUUCACAAUCAGCUUGGGCAUUAAAGGGACUCAGACAGUUGAGGCUGGGACAAAGAAAACUUCAGCAAUCCUGCCUCCAUGCCUACAGACAAGAUUCUUCUCAACUGGGGCAAGUCCUGCCAGGGAGGAGAAGAGCUAAGACAGAGCUCAGUGUCUGCAGGGCUCAGGAAGCAGGACGUGAGCGGACAGCCCCGAGGCUUGGGCUUGGGAGGAUGCUGUUGGGUGAAUUUGGGAAGCUGAGUGGCUUCUCUUUGCCUCAGUUCUGAUUUCCGAGAAAUAAAAGCGGCAGACAAGUCCUGA